rnacentral:rRNA from 1 species
CCUACGGGAGGCAGCAGUGAGGAAUAUUGGUCAAUGGACGCAAGUCUGAACCAGCCAUGCCGCGUGCAGGAAGACGGCUCUAUGAGUUGUAAACUGCUUUUGUACGAGGGUAAACGCAGAUACGCGUAUCUGUCUGAAAGUAUCGUACGAAUAAGGAUCGGCUAACUCCGUGCCAGCAGCCGCGGUAAUACGGAGGAUUCAAGCGUUAUCCGGAUUUAUUGGGUUUAAAGGGUGCGUAGGCGGUCGGUUAAGUUAGAGGUGAAAUCCCGAGGCUCAACUUCGGAAUUGCCGUUGAUACUGUUAGGCUAGAGAGUAGUAGCGGUAGGCGGAAUGCAUGGUGUAGCGGUGAAAUGCUUAGAGAUCAUACAGAACACCGAUUGCGAAGGCAGCUUACCAGGCUACUUCUGACGUUGAGGCACGAAAGCGUGGGGAGCAAACAGGAUUAGAUACCCGGGUAGUC